rnacentral:rRNA from 1 species
ACAGCAGCAGCCGCGGGAAUACGAGGGGGGCAAGCGUUGUUCGGAAUUAUUGGGCGUAAAGGGUGCGUAGGCGGUUUGACAAGUCUUAUGUGAAAUCUCUGGGCUCAACCCAGAGUCUGCAUGGGAAACUGUCGGGCUUGAGUAUGGGAGAGGUGAGUGGAAUUUCCGGUGUAGCGGUGAAAUGCGUAGAUAUCGGAAGGAACACCUGUGGCGAAAGCGGCUCACUGGACCAUAACUGACGCUGAUGCUCGAAAGCGUGGGGAGCAAACAGGAUUAGAGACCCCAGUAGUCCCUGUCUCUUAUAC